CCCAGACUCCUACGGGAGGCAGCAGUGGGGGAUAUUGCACAAUGGGGGAAACCCUGAUGCGGCGACGCCGCGUGAAGGAAGAAGUAUUUCGGUAUGUAAACUUCUAUCAGCAGGGAAGAAAAUGACGGUACCUGACUAAGAAGCCCCGGCUAACUACGUGCCAGCAGCCGCGGUAAUACGUAGGGGGCAAGCGUUAUCCGGAUUUACUGGGUGUAAAGGGAGCGUAGGCGGUUUAGCAAGUCAGAAGUGAAAGCCCGGGGCUCAACUCCGGGACUGCUUUUGAAACUGUUGAACUAGGUUGCAGGAGAGGUAAGUGGAAUUCCUAGUGUAGCGGUGAAAUGCGUAGAUAUUAGGAGGAACACCAGUGGCGAAGGCGGCUUACUGGACUGUAAAUGACGCUGAGGCUCGAAAGCGUGGGGAGCAAACAGGAUUAGAUACCCCUGUA
rnacentral:rRNA from 1 species